rnacentral:rRNA from 1 species
GACAGAGGGGGCAAGCGUUGCUCGGAAUUAUUGGGCGUAAAGGGCGCGUAGGCGGUCGUGACAAGUCACUUGUGAAAUCUCCGGGCUUAACUCGGAACGGUCAAGUGAUACUGUCGGACUAGAGUACAGAAGGGGCAACUGGAAUUCUCGGUGUAGCAGUGAAAUGCGUAGAUAUCGAGAGGAACACCCAGUGGCGAAGGCGAGUCCCUGGACAGGUCCUGACGC